UGUCCCUGACCUGGGUAGAAUGCCAUCUGGUUGGUGGUGCCCAUCUCGUAUCAGACAGGGACAAAGCAACCCUUGCUCAUCCCAACUUGGCUUUUGAUCUGUGCCCAUGCCUGGUUCAUCUGUGCCCAUACCUUGGACACAUAG
rnacentral:snoRNA from 1 species